UACGGAGGGUGCGAACGUUAAUCGGAAUCACUGGGCGUAAAGCGCGCGUAGGCGGUCUGUUAAGUGGGAUGUGAAAUCCCCGGGCUUAACCUGGGAAUUGCAUUUCAAACUGGCCGACUAGAGUACGGUAGAGGGAGGUAGAAUUUCCUGUGUAGCGGUGAAAUGCGUAGAUAUAGGAAGGAAUACCAGUGGCGAAGGCGGCCUCCUGGAUCGAUACUGACGCUGAAGCGCGAAAGCUAGGGGAGCAAACAGG
rnacentral:rRNA from 1 species